rnacentral:rRNA from 1 species
AUGAGGGGUCAUUCCGCUGAUGACUUUACUUACGACCCGCGGUACGAGCCUCAUAUUCGGAGAUUGGGUCUUCUCCCAUUCGUGUUGCAGUUUAAGCGACGCGCUCCGCCGGUGAACCACGCGGCGUUGACCGCACUUGUGGAUCGUUGGAGGACGGAGACUCACUCGUUCCACCUUCCAUGUGGGGAGCUGACGAUGACCCUAGAGGACAUGGCUAUGAUAAGCGGCCUUCCUAUCAACGAACAAGCUGUUACCGGUCGUGUCAGCGUCGUUAAUUGGCGAGAACGGACAGGCAUUUUAAUUGGCGAGAACAAUUGUUAG